GGGCUGCAGGAAGGUGAUGUCCCUGGAAGAGAAUGUGGUCAUAGCCCUGGCCUCCUGCCGAGGCAGAUGUGACCGGCUGGUUUUGUACCAGAUCCCUGGGCUUUCUGAUGCCCUUCCUGUCCUGGACCUGCAGCUGGGCUGCUCCUGGCACACGGCACAGUUUUCCAUCGGGAUUCAGUGAAGCACCAUUGCCUGAGAACAGAAAAACGAUAAACAUCUAAACGCAGACACUCUGAGUACUGUUUUAUCUAUGCCAUUUGAAGUGAUGACACCCUUCAACCAGAUAAACAAAGCAACGAGGAGGGGCAUGUUGUUAGAUGGAGUGUGUAACGAACAGAAUACUCCCUGCCACAUUACAGACAAUGGUAAUGCACAAUCAUUCAUUAUAACUCAAUUACAGUAAUUAAAACUGGUGGGAUGCAGAGGCAGAACAGACGAAGGGAGUAGUGCCAACAGAAUUUACACUCCGUGUCAUCAGCUAGCGAUAACAACAGCUGAUGGUGUCCCAGAGCCUCCUCCUGCCAUCUGUUCGGAGAGCCGCCGCCGAGGGAUGGCACGAGGUGCCGCAGCAGCGCGCGGGGGGGUGCAGGGGGUGGGACGGGGCUCUCGGCCCUGCCCGGCACCGCGUGCGCAACGCACGGCGCCCGACGGCUGCAGGCGCAACGCGUGCUCGCUGCGGGCACCCCGCUGUGUCCCCGGAGCCUCAGAUGUGGUUGUGGGGUGACUGAAGGGGGCACCCCAUAACCUGAGGUGCGGAGGGGGUGGCUGCCCUCCUAGGGAGCCCAGCCUGAGAGUGGCUUCUUGGUGUCCGGGGUGGGCACGGUGCGGCGCGGCACGGCGCGGUUUGGCACAGUUCAUCGCAGCACGGGGUGGCACAGCGCAGCACGGCUUCCCUACACCAACACCGAUGCCCAGUGCUGCCCUGUAGGGACCAGAGACACAGCAUGGGAAAAGGCACAUGGCCAAAAGUCUCCUUGGGGACAGCGUUCCCAUGGGGUGGCACAAGAGCCACGACCAGCGAGGUUUCAGCCCGCUCCAGCAGCCCGGAGCUGGGGGGAGGGAGGGGGUGCGUCUGGGCGGCAGCGUGGGCAGCCACCCACCCCAGUUAUUUUCUUUAUUAUAUUUUUCGAGGCAAGCUAACAACCUCUGCCCCAGCGCCAGGACCUGAGCACUGUAAUUUGCUAAUUAUCGGUUACUCAAAGUGUAAUUUCACCUGAUGGCCGCCCCGGAAAACCAGGCUGGGGAGGAGGAGCGGUGCGGGCGCGACGCGUGGGCUACCUCCAGAGGGUAGCGGCUCGGUUCAGCAGCUGCCGGGACCAAACACCCCAUGUGCCUCCUGCGUGGGAGCCCAUCCUUGCAUGAGAGUGCUGCUACGGUGCUCACAGAAGGCAGACGUUGACAAAAAAGCAGGUAACACAACCCAUUGGGUGCUGCGUGCUGGGGACGGAUGCAGCGCACCCGCAGCACGGCGUGGGCAGCUCCGGGUGCCCCACUGCGAUGCCCAUGGGAUCCAGGAGCCUGACACCCGAGGUUUGCACAAGGGUCACAGCAGCCUCGGCCACUGAAAGCAUUA